rnacentral:rRNA from 1 species
AACGAACGCUGGCGGCAGGCCUAACACAUGCAAGUCGAAGGAGAAGCCAUCUUCGGAUGGUGGAAACUGGCGCACGGGUGAGUAACGCGUGGGUAUCUACCUCGGGGUGGGGAAUAACCGUUGGAAACGGCGGCUAAUACCGCAUACGCCUUAAGAGGGAAAGCUCCGGCGCCCUGAGAGGAGCCCGCGUUGGAUUAGCUUGUUGGUGGGGUAAUGGCCUACCAAGGCUACGAUCUAUAGCUGGUCUGAGAGGAUGAUCAGCCACACUGGGACUGAGACACGGCCCAGACUCCUACGGGAGGCAGCAGUGGGGAAUAUUGGACAAUGGGCGCAAGCCUGAUCCAGCCAUGCCGCGUGAGUGAAGAAGGCCUUAGGGUUGUAAAGCUCUUUCACCUGCGAAGAUGAUGACGGUAGCAGGAGAAGAAGCCCCGGCUAACUCCGUG